GUGUGUUCCAGGUAAAUCCGGUUCACUUUAACACUGAGGCGUGAUGACGAGGCACUACGGUGCUGAAGCAACAAAUGCCCUGCUUCCAGGAAAAGCCUCUAAGCAUCAGGUAACAUCAAAUCGUACCCCAAACCGACACAGGUGGUCAGGUAGAGAAUACCAAGGCGCUUGAGAGAACUCGGGUGAAGGAACUAGGCAAAAUGGUGCCGUAACUUCGGGAGAAGGCACGCUGACACGUAGGUGAAGUGAUUUACUCAUGGAGCUGAAGUCAGUCGAAGAUACCAGCUGGCUGCAACUGUUUAUUAAAAACACAGCACUGUGCAAACACGAAAGUGGACGUAUACGGUGUGACGCCUGCCCGGUGCCGGAAGGUUAAUUGAUGGGGUCAGCGCAAGCGAAGCUCCUGAUCGAAGCCCCGGUAAACGGCGGCCGUAACUAUAACGGUCCUAAGGUAGCGAAAUUCCUUGUCGGGUAAGUUCCGACCUGCACGAAUGGCGUAAUGAUGGCCAGGCUGUCUCCACCCGAGACUCAGUGAAAUUGAACUCGCUGUGAAGAUGCAGUGUACCCGCGGCAAGACGGAAAGACCCCGUGAACCUUUACUAUAGCUUGACACUGAACAUUGAGCCUUGAUGUGUAGGAUAGGUGGGAGGCUUUGAAGUGUGGACGCCAGUCUGCAUGGAGCCGGCCUUGAAAUACCACCCUUUAAUGUUUGAUGUUCUAACGUGGACCCGUAAUCCGGGUUGCGGACAGUGUCUGGUGGGUAGUUUGACUGGGGCGGUCUCCUCCUAAAGAGUAACGGAGGAGCACGAAGGUUGGCUAAUCCUGGUCGGACAUCAGGAGGUUAGUGCAAUGGCAUAAGCCAGCUUGACUGCGAGCGUGACGGCGCGAGCAGGUGCGAAAGCAGGUCAUAGUGAUCCGGUGGUUCUGAAUGGAAGGGCCAUCGCUCAACGGAUAAAAGGUACUCCGGGGAUAACAGGCUGAUACCGCCCAAGAGUUCAUAUCGACGGCGGUGUUUGGCACCUCGAUGUCGGCUCAUCACAUCCUGGGGCUGAAGUAGGUCCCAAGGGUAUGGCUGUUCGCCAUUUAAAGUGGUACGCGAGCUGGGUUUAGAACGUCGUGAGACAGUUCGGUCCCUAUCUGCCGUGGGCGCUGGAGAACUGAGGGGGGCUGCUCCUAGUACGAGAGGACCGGAGUGGACGCAUCACUGGUGUUCGGGUUGUCAUGCCAAUGGCACUGCCCGGUAGCUAAAUGCGGAAGAGAUAAGUGCUGAAAGCAUCUAAGCACGAAACUUGCCCCGAGAUGAGUUCUCCCUGAGACUUAGAGUCUCC
rnacentral:rRNA from 1 species